rnacentral:lncRNA from 1 species
AUAUAUAUUUAUAUAUUUUUUAAAAGUCAAUUUAAAAUCAAAUAGUUGAUUUUUAUAUAUAUAUUAUACACAGGUGAAGUCAAUUAUCGAGUAAUUAUCUUGAAGCCAGGUUGGUAAUUAUACACAGCUCAUUCACUAAAAUCAGCGCCGCACAGCUCAUAUUGAAUAUACUAAAAAGUACUCCAAAACCUAAACCUAAUUCACUAAAACUUAAUUCAGCGCCUCCUCACUUCAGUCCUCAACCUCAUUCCUCAAAUCAGCGCCGCACAGCUCCCGCCUGCACCUGAACCUCGUCGCCCCACCCCCGCCGCAGAUCUGCGCUUGCACCGCGCCGCCUGCACCUGAACCUCGUCGCCCCAACCCCGCCGCAGAUCUGCGCUUGCACCGCGCCGCCUGAACCUGAACCUCGUAGCCUGCACCGCGCCGCUCGUCGCGCCUGCAUCUGCACCGCGUCGCCGCGGAGAAGUCGGAAUCGCGGGAGCAGCGGCGCGGAAUCUACCUCCCAUAAGAUUUGCUAUAGAUGUUGAUGAUUUUUUUUGUUUUUGUUUUCAUUAGUUGCAGUGAGGGGAGGUUCACAAGAUUUUCAAUAGCUUGAGUUUGUUGUUGAGUUUGUUUCAAUAGCUUGGCAGAUUUUUAUGUUUCUAUUGUUGUUUCUGGUUUUGCUUAAGAUUUCAGUGAAUUGGAGAUGCUACUGCUCCGAUCUUGUUGAUCUUGUCUCCUGGCUUGGUAAUUUGGUUCUAGGAUUAAAGGCGCUGAAAUUUAAUUUGGGGAAAAUUUGAUUUGGGGGAAAUUUGAUUUGGGGGAAAUUUGAACAAUUUUUUUUUCCUUCAGAAUUUCGAAUCAAAUAUUUUCGAAUCGAAUAGUAUAGAAUACAAGUCGAAUACUCGAAUCGAAUAUUUGAAUCGAAUAUUUUUCAAAAAAAAAUUAAGGUACUUUCAUAAGACGAAUCGAAUACUCGAAUCGAAUAAUUCGAAAAUAGCAACGAAUCGAAUAACGAAUCGAAUUUGGUAUUCGAAUUCGAAUCGAAUCACGAAUCGAAUAUUAGUAUCAUUUCACGAAUACGAAUCGAAUAUGGUGAUAUUCGCUUCGAUUCGAUUCGAUUACAACCCUA